GUGCCAAAAUGCUAAUCUAAGGCUUCUCUUUCUAUGGGUAUAUUGCAAAUAUAACUUGUGGCAAUGGAACCUGAACGCAAAUUGAAUAAUUUGAUGGACUUUUGAGUUUCUUGAAUGUUUCCGAGUUCUUUGGUCAUUUUUAGAUCAAUUUAGUGAAGGAGAAGUCCAACCCUGAAUUAUAAUUCAAGAAAUUUAGAAUUCAUGGAUAUUACUGAAGUUCCCAACUUUUGUUAUUUCCGUUCUUCCCGAUGUUAAUUCCAAGCAAUUCCCAACUUACUUAGAGGAAAUCGGCCUUUGUCUGACCUCUGAUAUACUGAGGAUAGAUUAUCUAAUUGGUUAACAUACUUGUCUACUUUGAGCUUGCUGAAGAUGUCAAUAUGCAGCAAUGCAAGCUACAAGAAAUACAUUCCAACUACUAUGAAGACUGUUAGACUGAUGUGCUUAUAGUUCUUUUUGUACUUACGUACAGAAUAUAUGUAGUUACUAUUCAACCCUCUACUUGUAAAGUUCAUUGGUCAAGUUAUUUCAUGUGUAUCUUAGCAUUGUGGCUAAGGUGGUUUGUGUUUGCUCGCUGACAAUGUUUCAUAAUGCCUUUGUGGACUAUGUUUUAGCAUUUUUGUGUAUCACAUCAAAUUCUUUACAUCUUUGUCUAGGCCUUUCCUUUAUUGGCAAUGAUUCAAAGCAUUGUACAUUGCCACAGGAUAUUGCAUGUAUUUUAUAGAUUUCAAUUGCUAUAUUUUCUCAAAGAGCGACAUUAUUACCAUGUUGUUUUUCCUUUUAUUGGUCCAUGUAAAUCAGUCAUCAGUUUCUUUGAAAUUCACAUAUGGGGCUUAUGUUCAUCUAAUGAAUGAUGAUCCAAUCCAACGGCAGUUUUUCAUGUUAUCAGAGAUCUCUUUCAAGAUUGGUCCAUGUAAAUCAGUCAUCAGUUUCUUUGAAAUUCACAUAUGGGGCUUAUGUUUGUCUAAUGAAUGAUGAUCCAAUCCAACGGCAGUUUUUCAUGUUAUCAGAGAUCUCUUUCAAGAUUGGUUAUAUAGGAGGUAAUUUGCCUGAAGUGGAUGCCAAUUGACAGUUUUAUAUAAUACGCUGAGUUUUGCUAAAAUGCUGGUAGUGUUUAAGGCAAUCAAGCUUUAGGUGAAUAUGCUUCAUGGCCUCAUCUUAGUUCUGGUCAUCCUUUUUUAGCUAUAAGUUUUAAAUUAGGGCUAGUUGAAUUUUAUUUGAUAUUUUCUUUAUCUAUAGGUAUUGUGUUAGUGAGGUUGAAAUGCUAUAACCAUUCUGAUAUGCAUUUUUCUUUAGUAACAGUUCUUGAACAGAAUCCUAUUGAGUUGUUUAUUAACUUGUUAUAACAUAUUUCUCUUUCAAGUGUUGAUGACCCAUGGGCGAUGAACUCGUACAUGUCAGAACGGAAAAAGAAAAAAAAGUUAGAAGCUUUGAUAUUCAUACACGUAUUCGAAUUUCGAAUGAGUCACAGGGGAACAUGCAUUGCUGGCCAGACCAAAACUGCAACUUCCGAUGCAAAAAGAUAAGUAUGCCAUUUCUGCUGCACAAUCUACUAGCUUUGAAUGGUAGGCUUAGGAGAACAGUUGUUGCUUUCUUUGAAUGGUUGGUUUGAACUAUGACACAUUGGUGGAGCCAGAAGAUGAUACUUAACCUCAAGGGCUAAGCAACUAUAUAACUUCCUCAUGUUCUCUUUCUGAGUAAGAAACCAAGCUCCCAGUUCACACAAGCUCCCAAUUCACACGCUUUUUGACAGGCUGUUUAAGAAGAUCCACACUACCCAUUUCCAUACAGAUCUCCUGAACUCACAGACUCGGAAAACUUCUCAGAAAGCCUUGCAAGUUCAGGCAUUGCCUUAGUGGUAGAGAGCUGACUAUGGGUCCAGGAGGACCUGGGGGUGGUGGUGGUCGUGGGGGUGGUGGUGGUGGCUGGGGUGGACCUGGCGGUGGUGGUGGACAUGGGGGCCCGGGUCCAGGAGGCUUCUUUGGUGGCUUAUGCAACCUGAUAGGUUCUGGCUUAAAUUGCCUGUGCUGUUGCUGGUUGCUGCGAGAUUGUUUCGGUGGACCACCCGGCGGCGGUGGCGGCCCUGGAGGCCCUCGUCCUUUCUGAUUUGCUGGGCAUGGGUUUGAUGAACUGAGAUUGCUUUGUUGGAUUACUUAUGCAAUAAAAUCCUGUGUUCACUCAGUGAUAAAAGAAUAACUGUUCCUGUUUCUCAGUCAUAUGUAUCUACUGGCCAUUUUCUUCCUUUGUAAAUGGAGAGAAUGAUGGAGUUAUCAUUUUGUAUCAGACCUUGUUACUUUAUGUGUUUAUGAAAUGCAGUGACUUUGACUUU